rnacentral:rRNA from 1 species
GCCCCAUAGUCUGGGAUACCACUUGGAAACAGGUGCUAAUACCGGAUAAGAAAGCGGAUCGCAUGAUCAGCUUUUAAAAGGCGGCGUAAGCUGUCGCUAUGGGAUGGCCCCGCGGUGCAUUAGCUAGUUGGUAAGGUAAAGGCUUACCAAGGCGAUGAUGCAUAGCCGAGUUGAGAGACUGAUCGGCCACAUUGGGACUGAGACACGGCCCAAACUCCUACGGGAGGCAGCAGUC